rnacentral:misc_RNA from 1 species
CCCCGCUCGCUUGCAGCAGUCACCAAGGUUUCAAAAUUUUCAAGGUUGGAAUCCCUGAACCUAUUAUACAUGCACAAAUGCAGAGAGCAAUGAACAAUGUUUCCUUAUCAUACAAGUUUCAAGAUGAUGCUUCCAACAUCAGACAGCAAUUUAAUAGGCAGUAUCCGGAAGCUUUGAAAAAUAUCAAAUUAUAAUUUGUUCAAACAUCAAAUCUUCAAAUUUUGAUUCAAAUUAACAGUUAAUAGCAUAUAUAACAUGAUCUUCAUUUGAUGGUAAGUUUCCACCAUACCAUCAUGCACCACUUGCGUAUAAUCUGGUCCAUUCCUUUGCUGUCUCAACAGCUUCAGCCUCAUUUGUUUUCCAAUGCUUCGCAAUGUUCUCAGAAAGUGGAUCAUCAGGGUUUGGAGCACUAAGAAGUGC